AUGUAUCAAACUACCCAGCUUGCUUUGGUUAGUUUUGGAUAAUGAGGGAUGCUGGAUGUAAUGAUCAGCUACCUUUAAAUAUAUUAGAUUGAUGUAUAAGUCAUCUGAGCUUGAGCUAAUAUGAAUACUUUAUAUUAAUUGCUUGUGCUAAGAUGUUGCUUAUUCAAGCUUACAAAAUGUCUUGAAAGAGACUGUCUUUAGACAUAUAAUCUUGA
rnacentral:misc_RNA from 1 species